CCGGAGUGGACGAACCUCUGGUGUACCGGUUGUCACGCCAGUGGCAUCGCCGGGUAGCUAUGUUCGGAAGAGAUAACCGCUGAAAGCAUCUAAGCGGGAAACUCGCCUUAAGAUGAGAUAUCCCUGGAGGCUAGACCUCCUUGAAGGGUCGUUCGAGACCAGGACGUUGAUAGGUCAGGUGUGUAAGCGCAGUAAUGCGUUCAGCUAACUGAUACUAAUUGCCCGUAAGGCUUGAUCCUAUAACA
rnacentral:rRNA from 4 species